rnacentral:rRNA from 1 species
ACCUGGCGGUGCGUUUUGUGCCGUCCAGGGGUGUUGCGUUAAGGUGGGUUCGUUCCGUGCAAAGAGCUGACCGCCUAAGUCAUUGCUUAAAAGCAGCACCAUGGAGGGUGAUAGGCCCGUGUGGCGGCGCCUGUAAAAAGGGUGUAGGCUGGUUUGCACGGGUGAACGUNAACCUGUGAGUCGGGUUGCUUAGUACUGCAGCCCUAAGUAGGUGGUAAACUCCAUCUAAGGCUAAAUAUUAACACGAGUCCGAUAGAUGACAAGUACCGCGAGGGAAAGCUGAAAAGGACUCUGAAGAGAGAGUUCAACAGGACGUGAAACUGCUAAGAGCUUAAACGGGUGGAGCCGCGAAGGUCGAACGAGGGGACUCAGCCCGCGUGGGUCGGGCGGUGUUUGGGGCGGCAAGAUGCUGGAUUUGCAUUGAUGUGACCCGGCAUGAAGUGGAAUAGCCGUGGCCCCGCCCCCACCGCCGUGUGCCUUUUAGCGCGGGCUUACUUCUUGCCUCAAGUAGCAUCUGGCCGCGACUGGUGGUGGGGACCCCAGGGGUGGUGGAAAGACUUGGACACAGCCGGAU